rnacentral:sRNA from 1 species
UAAGUAAUGUACUUAAAGGAUUAAGCGC